rnacentral:rRNA from 1 species
ACCAUCCUAAGGUAGCGAAAUUCCUUGUCGGGUAAGUUCCGACCUGCACGAAUGGAGUAACGACUUCCCUACUGUCUCAACCAUGAACUCGGUGAAAUUGCAGUACGAGUAAAGAUGCUCGUUUCGCGCAGCAGGACGGAAAGACCCCGUGACCUUUACUAUAGUUUGGUAUUGGUGUUUGGGUUGGCUUGUGUAGGAUAGGUGGGAGACUGUGAAGCCGUCACGCUAGUGGUGGUGGAGUCGUUGUUGAAAUACCACUCUGGUCAAUCUGGAUGUCUAACUUCGGGCCAUGAUCUGGUUCAGGGACAGUGCCUGAUGGGUAGUUUAACUGGGGCGGUUGCCUCCUAAAGUGUAACGGAGGCGCCCAAAGGUUCCCUCAGCCUGGUUGGCAAUCAGGUGUUGAGUGUAAGUGCACAAGGGAGCUUGACUGUGAGAGUGGCGACUCGAGCAGGGACGAAAGUCGGGACUAGUGAUCCGGCAGUGGCUUGUGGAAGCGCUGUCGCUCAACGGAUAAAAGGUACCUCGGGGAUAACAGGCUGAUCUUGCCCAAGAGUCCAUAUCGACGGCAUGGUUUGGCACCUCGAUGUCGGCUCGUCGCAUCCUGGGGCUGGAGUCGGUCCCAAGGGUUGGGCUGUUCGCCCAUUAAAGCGGUACGCGAGCUGGGUUCAGAACGUCGUGAGACAGUUCGGUCCCUAUCCGCUGCGCGCGUUGGAGAAUUGAGAAAGGCUGUCCUUAGUACGAGAGGACCGGGACGGACGAACCUCUGGUAUGUCAGUUGUACCGCCAGGUGCAUGGCUGAUUGGCUACGUUCGGGAGGGAUAACCGCUGAAGGCAUCUAAGCGGGAAGCCUGUUUCGAGAUGAGUUCUCCUGGCACUCUUUGUGGUGUGUGAGGCUCCUUAGAGAUGAUGAGGUUGAUAGGCCGGGUAUGGAAGCGUUGUAAGGCGUGGAGUUGACUGGUACUAAUAGGCCGAAGACUUAUUCAC